rnacentral:snoRNA from 1 species
UCUGAAACAAAGCUCAUAAAAAUUCAUCUCUUUAAACAGAGGUGCAAACAGCAAGUGGAUCUCAUCGCCUUUGGGAAGCUGUGGCUGUGCCCCUCAAAGUGAAUUUGGAGGUUCCUCGUGG